rnacentral:snoRNA from 1 species
UCAUCACAUGGGGUAAUUUUUACCCGUUCCUCCCUUUGGAGGACAGAUCAGAACAUGACGGUGGCAGUUUGCAUGAUUCAUGAUUAACAUCUCUGAGUAACCUUGACUUACAGUACCGUCAUGCACAUAUUCUCUUCUCACUGAA